AGUUCCAGAUGUUUUUACUUUAAGAGGCUUUUUAGAUCUAAUUAUAUACACUUUUUCUAUGUUUUGUAGAGUCCUAUUUGUUUCAUUUUAGACAAUAUUUUUACAAAAUAUUUUCUUUCUUGAAUUUGGAAUUUUAUGCUUUUUUUUAUCUUACUAAAAAUGUAUUUAUGAAUUAAAAUAUAUUGCAUUUUGUGUGUGUUUUGGGGUGUUCGAUGUUUCCUAACUUGAUCAUCUGUCCCAGAUCAUCAUCGUUCAGAGAUUUGUAUGUGCAGGGGGACAUUUUUAAAUUAUACAGUACAUGUUUUAGAAGAUCUUAAACAAAACACAGCAAAUAGGAAAACAUAGUGGGAGUGUGUCUUUCUCACUCUGAGGGUUUCUCUCUUUCUGUGUGUCUUUCAUGGAUGUGAAUGUUUAGUUUCUCCUGCAUCAGUCCGGCUGCAGAAGACACGAUGAAGAAGAUGUACAUUCUUGUCCUCCUGCUGCUCCUCCUCAGUCCUGGAUGUGGGAAUGGGCUGAAUUAUAUACUUUACACUGGCAGUAAUAUGAUGAGCUGGGCUGAAGCACAGGACUUCUGCAGGACCCACCACACUGACCUGGUCACAAUCAGAGACGCAACUGAGAAUGAGAACUAUUACUGGGGAGUAGGCUGGAUUGGACUGUACCGAGAGGAUGCAACAAGUCCAUGGAAAUGGUCCAGAAGAGACAAGAUAGCCACCUUCACCAACUGGGAACAAGAUCCACUCCCAAAUGAAAACUGUGCUUUCAAGGCAAAAGGUUCAGAAAAAUGGAAAACCCAUGGAUGUAAUGUCAAUCAUUCCUUCAUGUGUUCUGAUGAGAAGAUGUUCCUGGUGAAGGAGAGGAAGACAUGGGAGGAGGCCUUAGAGUACUGCAGGUCUCUGGAGGCUGUGGACCCAAAUGAGGCAACCGCUCCUUACCAGAACCACCUCUAUGACCUGGCCACCCUGAUCACUCCGGAAGACCACGCUCUCGCUCAAGAGAUAGCACAAGAAGCUACCACUAGAGAGGUGUGGACCGGUCUGCGUUACCUGGCCGAUCAGUGGGUGUGGGUGAGCGGAGAACCGGUGACGUAUGAGACGAUUCCAAACUGUCCGGGUUCCAAGUCCUGUGGUGUCAUGGAAAAGAAUGGAAACGCA